rnacentral:rRNA from 1 species
GAUGAACGCUGGCGGCGUGCCUAAUACAUGCCAGUCGAGCGAACGGACGAGAAGCUUGCUUCUCUGAUGUUAGCGGCGGACGGGUGAGUAACACGUGGAUAACCUACCUAUAAGACUGGGAUAACUUCGGGAAACCGGAGCUAAUACCGGAUGAUAUUUUGAACCGCAUGGUUCAAAAGUGAAAGACGGUCUUGCUGUCACUUAUAGAUGGAUCCGCGCUGCAUUAGCUAGUUGGUAAGGUAACGGCUUACCAAGGCAACGAUGCAUAGCCGACCUGAGAGGGUGAUCGGCCACACAGGAACUGAGACACGGUCCAGACUCCUACGGGAGGCAGCAGUAGGGAAUCUUCCGCAAUGGGCGAAAGCCUGACGGAGCAACGCCGCGUGAGUGAUGAAGGUCUUCGGAUCGUAAAACUCUGUUAUUAGGGAAGAACAUAUGUGUAAGUAACUGUGCACAUCUUGACGGUACCUAAUCAGAAAGCCACGGCUAACUACGUG